AACCUAGAAAUGGAGGAAGAAGAGGAAGAAAUGGCAGGUUCUCAGGUAAAAUUUGUCAUCUGGAUCAGGGGCUGUGUCCUUUUUUCUUGCUGAAAU
rnacentral:miRNA from 1 species